UACGUAGGUGGCAAGCGUUGUCCGGAAUUAUUGGGCGUAAAGCGCGCGCAGGCGGUCCUUUAAGUCUGAUGUGAAAGCCCACGGCUCAACCGUGGAGGGUCAUUGGAAACUGGGGGACUUGAGUACAGAAGAGAAGAGUGGAAUUCCACGUGUAGCGGUGAAAUGCGUAGAGAUGCGGAGGAACACCAGUGGCGAAGGCGACUCUUUGGUCUGUAACUGACGCUGAGGCGCGAAAGCGUGGGGAGCGAACAGG
rnacentral:rRNA from 1 species